rnacentral:rRNA from 1 species
UACGUAGGUGGCAAGCGUUAUCCGGAAUUAUUGGGCGUAAAGCGCGCGCAGGCGGUUUCUUAAGUCUGAUGUGAAAGCCCACGGCUCAACCGUGGAGGGUCAUUGGAAACUGGGGAACUUGAGUGCAGAAGAGAAAAGCGGAAUUCCACGUGUAGCGGUGAAAUGCGUAGAGAUGUGGAGGAACACCAGUGGCGAAGGCGGCUUUUUGGUCUGUAACUGACGCUGAGGCGCGAAAGCGUGGGGAGCAGACAGG